rnacentral:rRNA from 1 species
UACAGAGGGUGCGAGCGUUGUCCGGAAUCACUGGGCGUAAAGGGCGCGUAGGCGGCUUGAUAAGCGUGCGGUGAAAGCCCGGGGCUCAACCCCGGGUCGGCCGUGCGAACUGUCGAGCUGGAGCACUGUAGAGGCAGGUGGAAUUCCGGGUGUAGCGGUGGAAUGCGUAGAGAUCCGGAAGAACACCGGAGGCGAAGGCGGCUUGCUGGGCAUGGUCUGACGCUGAGGCGCGACAGCGUGGGGAGCAAACAGG